AAACUUUAUAGGCAAACCUAUAGAAAUGUAGGGACGCAAAGCUAAAGGGACUAAUGUCUUAAAUGACGAUGUCAGCCAGCUGCCAGA
rnacentral:ncRNA from 1 species